rnacentral:rRNA from 1 species
AGUGAACGCUGGCGGUAGGCCUAACACAUGCAAGUCGAACGGCAGCACAGUAAGAGCUUGCUCUUACGGGUGGCGAGUGGCGGACGGGUGAGGAAUACAUCGGAAUCUACUUUUUCGUGGGGGAUAACGUAGGGAAACUUACGCUAAUACCGCAUCCGACCUACGGGUGAAAGCAUGGGAUCUUCGGACCUUGCGCGAUUGAAUGAGCCGAUGUCGGAUUAGCUAGUUGGCGGGGUAAAGGCCCACCAAGGCGACGAUCCGUAGCUGGUCUGAGAGGAUGAUCAGCCACACUGGAACUGAGACACGGUCCAGACUCCUACGGGAGGCAGCAGUGGGGAAUAUUGGACAAUGGGCGCAAGCCUGAUCCAGCCAUACCGCGUGGGUGAAGAAGGCCUUCGGGUUGUAAAGCCCUUUUGUUGGGAAAGAAAAGCAGCAGGUUAAUACCCCGCUGUUCUGACGGUACCCAAAGAAUAAGCACCGGCUAACUACGUG